rnacentral:rRNA from 1 species
UACAGAGAGUGCGAACGUUGUUCGGAAUUACUGGGCAUAAAGAGCACGUAGGCGGCGCCGUAAGUGUCGGGUGAAAUCCCACGGCUUACCCGUGGAACUGCUUGGCAGACUGCGGUGCUAGAGGAUGGUAGGGGAGAGCGGAACUCCUGGUGGAGCGGUGAAAUGCGUAGAGAUCAGGAGGAACACCGGUGGCGAAGGCGGCUCUCUGGUCCAUUUCUGACGCUGAGGUGCGAAAGCUAGGGGAGCAAACGGG